AGAAUAUGCCCCAGCCAAUCAGCGUGCUCCCAAUCUUUCCUGCAAAAGCCCUGUGACCAAUCACAGCCUGCCUGUGUGCUGGAGGAAAGGAGCAAAUAUCUGACUCAAGCUCAUGUCUGAGUUAAAUCGUUGCACUGCUGUUAAAAUAAAUACACUCUGAAGCAAA